GUGUAAACCGUUGUUAUGACUGGGGUCAUCUGUGUAGUGUUUGUGGGUUUCUUUUGGUGUCUUUCUGGUUUCUUUAUUCAAACAGGGAUGUGCCACCACCAGGCGCGGAUUGGUGCACGGUCUCCCACCCGUCCUGUGAUUGGCUGCAGCCGGCAUAUAAUGGAAGCCAAGAUGGCGUCCGAGGCAGAGCAGACCAGAGCAGGGGAGAACAGCAGCAGAGCACAACCCUCAGCACAACCCUCGUCCUCCUCCUCUUCCAACCAGCCACUUGUAGCAUACCGUGAAGCUGAAUAAGUAUUCUGUUUUUCUUUUGAGUUGGUUUUCUCCUGUUUUAAAGUAGUUAGGUAGGUAAGACUGAUGUCAUUAUUUUUCUCCUUUGUUUUGGUAGGUCAGCGUCUUAUUUUCUAGCUAGGUUCGUUUUUUGGUUUGUUUGUUAUAUUGGGGAUGGGCAACGGCGAAGCCGUGGUUUGUCUUUGCCUCAACAUACUGGGUUUUUCUCAACCUAGAGCUUUUUUUCAAUAAAUAUCCCCUAUACAAACUUAAAGUGUGUGUGGCUAUUUGGGAGAC
ensembl:lncRNA